UCCCUGGUGGUCUAGUGGUUAAGAAUCUGCCUUGCAUUGCAGGGGACAUGGGUUCAAUUCCUAGUCAGGGAA
rnacentral:tRNA from 1 species